CCUACGGGUGGCAGCAGUGGGGAAUAUUGGGCAAUGGGCGCAAGCCUGACCCAGCGACGCCGCGUGAGGGAAGACGGUCUUCGGAUUGUAAACCUCUUUCAGCAGGGAAGACAAAAGGACGGUACCUGCAGAAGAAGCCACGGCUAACUACGUGCCAGCAGCCGCGGUAAUACGUAGGUGGCAAGCGUUGUCCGGAAUUACUGGGUGUAAAGGGAGCGUAGGCGGGACUGCAAGUUGGGUGUCAAAUCUACCGGCUCAACCGGUAGCUGCACUCAAAACUGCAGUUCUUGAGUGAAGUAGAGGCAGGCGGAAUUCCUAGUGUAGCGGUGAAAUGCGUAGAUAUUAGGAGGAACACCAGUGGCGAAGGCGGCCUGCUGGGCUUUUACUGACGCUGAGGCUCGAAAGUGUGGGGAGCAAACAGGAUUAGAUACCCCUGUAGUC
rnacentral:rRNA from 1 species